rnacentral:rRNA from 1 species
UACGUAGGGCGCAAGCGUUUGUCCGGAAUUAUUGGGCGUAAAGAGCUCGUAGGCGGCUUGUCACGUCGAUUGUGAAAGCCCGAGGCUUAACCUCGGGUCUGCAGUCGAUACGGGCUAGCUAGAGUGUGGUAGGGGGAGAUCGGAAUUCCUGGUGUAGCGGUGAAAAUGCGCAGAUAUCAGGAGGAACACCGGUGGCGAAGGCGGAUCUCUGGGCCAUUACUGACGCUGAGGAGCGAAAGCGUGGGGGAGCGAACAGG